rnacentral:lncRNA from 1 species
CGUGACCAUGGUCACGAUACUGAAGACUGCCACCAGCUUCACGUUGAGAUUGAGAGGCUUGUUAGGCAGGGGCAGUUGAAUCAUUUUGUCUAAAGAGUGGCCCCUCAACAUCGAGCUCUGAGAGUUCAACAGCCACCUCCUCUGUCUCAGCAGCAUCUCCCUCAACCUCAACCACACCAAGCACCAGCACGGCAGGAAUGACAGCAGGGUGGAGGGCA